CUGAGUGGAUUUAAUAUCAAAUGAAUCAAAACUUUCAACAACGGAUCUCUUGGUUCUGGCAUCGAUGAAGAACGCAGCGAAAUGCGAUAAGUAAUGCGAAUUGCAGAAUUCAGUGAAUCAUCGAAUCUUUGAACGCACAUUGCGCCCGCCAGUAUUC
rnacentral:rRNA from 1 species